UCCUUCUCCAACAAGUCAUGAGAAGACUUUAUGAGAUUGCCAGGCACUCUUUGGAAAAACAGCCAGGCAGGACUCUCCUGAACACUGGAUCCCUGUCCCUGCCUUCAGAAGACAGAAGGACCCCAAGAGUUCUGCUUUAAAAGAGCCAAGAAGGGCAGAAAAUUAUGACAAAGCAAUUAUUAUGAUGGAUGGAGAGUUGGUCCUUUAUGUGGAAACACUGCUGGGGCAAGAACUAGCUCUCCAGACUGCACGCUUGAAGAAGCAGGACACUUCAGACGAUAAUGGGCAAUGUAGAUUAGCACCAUUAGGUUAAAGCGGGAUAAUUAUUCUUCUUUUCCAUUUCCUAGUCCUUUUUCCUGAACCAGUUUUGGCUUUACAUUUUGCUGUUCCAGGUUUCUAAGCCACCGUGUGUGCAUAUCGGGUAGACACUGUCUUCUGCUAAUUAAAGGUGAUGUUCUGCUUGCUUUCUCUGUCUUCUACAAACAGCGGGGGUUGCAGGGAAUGGAGAUUGAUGAAACCAUUGCAAAGAAUUGUACCUUUCAAAUCAAGGAGAAGGACAUAGGAGGAGGUAUUUUGAAAGACUGGCAGCAGAAAACAAACAAGCCUUGGAAAAAGGAUCAUCCUGCAGUUUAUAAAA